GGGUUCCAAUGGGACCAUCCAACUCACCAGCAGGUAAAGGUGUGAGACAGGGAAAGGGUGCAUUUGCUGAAUAUCUAAAUCCACUCGAUAAUGGUGUCUGCAGGCUUUGAUCCUCAGUGCCAGAAUUGUGAGUUCAAAUGAAAUCUGAGGAUGGAAUUAACUCCAGGCAUUAAGAAGGGCAGAAGUGCAGUUUCUUUGUUGAAGGAGGCCACCCACUCGAACUUUCCUAGACGUCCCAUCUAGCAACCUCUAUUCGUAUCUGAUUGACACCCCCGAGUUGCAGGAGAGGCUGAGAAAUGUGUUGCUGCCCUGAAAGAAACUGAGGUCCUGUAACUACAAAGGAGAAGUAAACAUGUUAACGACACUGACACUAGAAUUAAGUAUUUGGAAGAUGUUCAAGAGACGCUCUGGAAACAAGACACACAGGCCUAUAUUUUUGUCAAUUUUGCUUUGAAUGUCCACAUAACUGUAUCAUGUUCUAUUACAAAUAAAAGUUCCUGUGACAUGA
rnacentral:lncRNA from 1 species